rnacentral:pre_miRNA from 1 species
CAACUACUCCCUCUGUCCCAAAUUUCUUGUCUUAGAUUUGUCUAGAUACAGAUGUAUCUAAUACUAAAAUGUGACUUGAUACAUCCGUCUCUAGACAAAUCUAAGACAAGAAUUUUGGGACGGAGGGAGUACUUU